GCGCAGAGCGGGGAGACCUUGGCGAGCCGGCGGAGACGCUUAGUGGAGGUGAAAGCUUUUGGCGGAAAGGAAAGUCCAGCGGCAAGAUGCAGAGCUGGAGUCGUGUGUACUGUUCUUUGGCUAAGAGAGGCCAUUUCAAUCGAAUAUCUCAUGGUCUGCAAGGAGUUUCUGCAGUGCCACUGAGAACUUAUGCAGAUCAACCAAUUGAUGCUGAUGUAACAGUGAUAGGUUCUGGUCCUGGAGGAUAUGUUGCUGCUAUUAAAGCUGCCCAGUUAGGCUUCAAGGCCGUCUGCGUUGAGAAAAAUGAAACACUCGGUGGAACUUGCUUGAACGUUGGUUGUAUUCCUUCUAAGGCUUUAUUGAAUAACUCUCAUUAUUACCAUCUGGCCCACGGAAAAGAUUUUGCAUCUAGAGGAAUUGAAAUGUCUGAAGUUCGCUUGAAUUUAGACAAGAUGAUGGAGCAGAAGAGUAAUGCAGUAAAAGCUUUAACGGGUGGAAUUGCCCACUUAUUCAAACAGAAUAAGGUUGCUCAUGUAAAUGGAUAUGGAAAGAUAACUGGGAAAAAUCAGGUCACCGCUACGAAAGCCGAUGGCAGCACUCAAGUUAUUGAUACAAAGAACAUUCUUAUAGCCACAGGUUCAGAAGUCACUCCUUUUCCUGGAAUUACGAUUGAUGAAGAUACAGUAGUGUCAUCUACAGGUGCUUUGUCUUUAAAAAAAGUUCCAGAAAAGAUGGUUGUCAUUGGUGCAGGAGUAAUAGGUGUAGAAUUGGGCUCAGUUUGGCAAAGACUUGGUGCAGACGUGACAGCAGUUGAGUUUUUGGGUCAUGUUGGUGGAAUUGGAAUUGAUAUGGAGAUAUCUAAAAACUUUCAGCGCAUCCUUCAAAAACAAGGAUUUAAAUUUAAAUUGAAUACCAAAGUUACUGGUGCUACUAGGAAGCCAGAUGGAAAAAUUGAUGUUUUUAUUGAAGCUGCUUCUGGUGGUAAAGCUGAAGUUAUCACUUGUGAUGUACUCCUGGUUUGCAUUGGCCGACGACCCUUUACUAAGAAUUUGGGACUAGAGGAGCUUGGAAUUGAGCUGGAUCCUAGAGGUAGAAUUCCAGUAAAUACCAGAUUCCAAACUAAAAUUCCAAAUAUCUAUGCAAUCGGCGAUGUGGUUGCUGGUCCAAUGCUGGCUCACAAAGCAGAGGAUGAAGGCAUUAUCUGUGUUGAAGGGAUGGCUGGUGGCGCUGUGCACAUUGACUACAAUUGUGUACCAUCGGUGAUUUACACACACCCUGAAGUUGCUUGGGUUGGCAAAUCAGAAGAGCAGUUGAAAGAAGAGGGUAUUGAGUACAAAGUUGGGAAAUUCCCAUUUGCUGCUAACAGCAGAGCUAAGACAAACGCUGACACAGAUGGCAUGGUGAAGAUACUUGGGCAGAAAUCAACAGACAGAGUAUUGGGAGCACAUAUUCUAGGACCAGGUGCUGGUGAAAUGAUAAAUGAAGCUGCUCUUGCACUGGAAUAUGGAGCAUCCUGUGAAGAUAUAGCUAGAGUCUGUCAUGCACAUCCGACCUUAUCAGAAGCUUUUAGAGAAGCAAACCUGGCUGCGUCAUUUGGGAAAUCGAUCAACUUUUAAAUUAGAAGAUUAUAUUUUUCUGCAACUUCCUGGGAGCUUUUGUAGAGCCAAAACUAUCCUGAGUGGUAACACUCAAACUGUGACCUGCAACAUUUGUGAGCUGGACCACAAAUCCCAGAGAUUUUCGAUUUCUGUACAGAACACUUAAGAUCCUCCAGUCCAUAACGGAAAGGAAACAAACAAAACAGCCCAUCCAUUGAAUUACCGUCUUGGAGAGCCGUUCCACCUCAGCCAGGGCACUCAGGACAUCUCGGUCAAAGUCCAUGGCUUUCUGCCAGGCGCCGUGUGCGACAGCGACCAGCCCGCCACAGCCGGGCCCCCCACACUGCUUCUGUCCUUCGUCGGUUCUGCAGUUUGGGCCGCCACAUUCGGUCUCGGAACAGGAAGCUCCCGGAGGUGUUCCACACGUCUGCAGCGAGCCAAGGAACAAGCACGGGGUGCAGAGUGAGUCCGCUGCAGCCAACAGCUGUGCAGAGCCUGGGUGGCCCCAGAGAGCGUGUAGGUGGUCCUCAGCGAGGGUGCUUGAAAACAGUGUUCAGGAUAGAGCGGAGCAAAGAGCUCAGGGCUGAGCUAACCCGCUUAGUUCCAAGGAAACGAUGAUUUACAGCCCUGCAUCAGUACCUUCUGCCCUAAUGAACUGCAAGGCUAUAUGGGUUCUGUGCAGGGUGCAAAUGUUAUCUGCUCCAUCAGGCUGAAGUCAGCCCAUAUGAAAGCCAAAGAAUGUGUCCCGUCCCCUUUCUCCUAACUGGUAGGAUUUACCAAAAAAAAAAAAAAAAGUAUUGAGAACCUUCUUUAGACCUAGCACCCUUGUUAACUGUUCUGGUGAGAAGGGUGAUAUAAAAGGCCCGUUAUCGGGCCUUUUAGUAAUUUCCCAUCUAGUAAGGAAGACAGGAUCAUUCUAGGUAAAACGGCCAAGAAUAGGUCAGAUGCUGCAAGUGCGAAGGAAAGCAGGCAAAGCAGAGACCACUGAGUAUUACUGUAGUUUGGGAAGGAGUACUGGCUGGUGGGAUCUGUGCAGGGGAAGUGGGGGAACAUUCCACAGGGGAGAGGAAGAGAGAAGACAAAGGUACGGGUAUAACUUUCCAAAUAACCUCCCAACGGCCCUGCCAGACUCCUCCUUUCUUAUCUACCAGAAACUUCCAAAGACCAGGGCUUGGUUGUAGAAUAUACACAGCAAAUUGAUAAAUUACAAGAUUGCUAUAUGAUGGAAAAGGCUGAGCAGGAAGAAAAAUUACAUUUAGAGCUAUCUACCCUUUUGUGGAAAAUGGUCACGUUGAAAAGAGGCAAAAGCUAUAUAUACUACAGUGAAUAACAGUUAACAGGAUACUCCCAAACAAGUACUCCUUUUAAUAAGUAAAAGAGUCGUUUUUGAAUAAAUACAGUCAACUGUUUAACCUAAUAGUUUUGUAAUAAUUAUAAUCCCAUUAUAUCUCAAAAUAAUAGUCAUUAAUGUGUCUGGUUUACAGCACAUAAAAAGCUUCAGAAAAUAACAUUUAUUCCGCAUGCUGUACAAGAACAUGAGCCUUAAUCAAGAAGAGAUGCUUUCUAAAAGCUAUCUGGCAGCACACUAGAAGAUCUGUUUUGUUUCAGCAGCCUGGCAGGCUUAAAAAAAAACCCAGCACGGGUCUAACUAAAUAUACACAAAGACAAGAACCAAAGGUACUUGAAAAACACAAAGGAGCAAAAAUUUUUCUACACGACUUUGAAGAAAAACACAGCAGCACCGCUCAGCUGUGUUGUGGCAGAUGGACUACAGGAGUGAUUCCGAAUGUCUGAUGUAACGUGAGCACAGAUCCAGAGCGUGGAGUACCAGCUCUGUACAUAAGCAGCUUCAAGCCCAUACAAUCCCACAAACUCGAAAGAUGUAAGUGACUCCAGUGUACAAUUAUGCCUCCCAGCCACCCACCAAAAAUGCUCUCAUGUGAACCUCAGGGAUCUCCUUCAAGAUGGGACAUUCAGAAAGCAAGCCCCACCGCCACCAGGAAGCAACCCAGUGGGAGCAACCCAAAGGAGCUUUUCAUACCCGACCCCUUUCAAGCCACGUCUCAUCAAAGGAGCCUCCUCCUUCCACCAACAAAGCAACCCUUUCGUUUUUCCUGAGAAAGAAGGUAGUACCAGUAAGAAUGGAAUAUGAUAACCAUUUAGCUUUCACAAUAUUUCAUUUGGAAUCUAAACCCAACUGCAUUUUGUUCUGUAUCUUCCUGUUUCCAAAGCUGUACUUUAGGCAUCUAUUUGUAAAUUACUCGUAUAUACAGUGGGCAUGUGUGUAUGUAUCUCAAAGAAAGGAAUAUUUGAGAAGACCUUACCCCUGGGUAUCACCUAACUCAGUAUUGUCUUCUCAGGAAUAUAAUUGUACAAAAAACGGGGAAAAUGCAGAGAUGCUGAAAGGUUGGGGGCCAGUCGAAAAAUGAUGUUUAAGGCUGAGAGAAUACCAUGGCCCAACUCAAAGAAAAAGUGCUUAAAAGGAUUUGCGGGAUAAAUUACAUUUAGUAAACCUGAUGGCUCUUUUCCUGAGGCUAGUUUUUUUUUUUUCAGUGCUUUGCUUUUAUUAAUCGGUUGAUUCACAGAAGGCUUUCAUUUCUCCUCAGGUCUCGUACAAUGUUAUACUUUUACAAAGUCAAAUCUCACAUUGUAUAUUUGUAAAUAAUGCCCCUUUGGAUCCUAGACCUUGCGUCCUUGGAUACUGUGUUGAAAAAAGAUUGAUGAAAUUGGUGUUCCUGAGGUGAUUACAAUCUGUCUGAUUAGGUGAAGAGUGAAGGUAGGACCAGGGCUGUCUGAGAAGUGUAGUCGCUCUUGUUUUGCCUUAAGGUGCAUGGCACCCAGGUCAAGACAUCAUUUCCUAAAUGGGCUUGCACUCAGACCAGGGCCUUCCAUGGCUCAUUAUCGCUACAUGUAAGAAGGCUGAGCUGUACCACGGUCUUUUUAAUAAGGUUGAGUUCCUCACUAAGUGCAUUAUGGCCCCACAUCAGACAUCGCCUAACACCCUGGUCAACCGCAUGAUCUUGGCCAUGAGAUCUGAGGCUUGAAAUCCAGGGACUAGUUACUUUAAAUCUAGGUCUAGGAAGGUACUUGAGCUAAUGUCAGCGGUUAGCUUCCUGCUUCUCAUACACAGUGCUGAGAUGAAAAGGCCAUCUCACUUCUUAGAGAUGCUGAUUAAAAGUCCCAUCACACAAAAA